GAUGAAAAAGGGACAAAGUACCAGGUUGAGCCAGUUUUAGAAGCUGAUUUAUGAAGGUGGCAAGAGACUUGGAAAUCUAGUCUUGAGGGGAUGCUCUUUUCAUAAUCCCUUCUGGAAACUAGGAAGCAGUAUGGUCUGGUGCAAAAAAGAUAGGAGAUUUCUUCUACUCCAUGCAUUUCUUAAGUAUGUACUCUUUCUUAUAACCACCUCAUGAGAAGUAGUAGUACAAGGAAUAUCCCAAUUUAUAGGAAAAGAAACAAGACCUGUAUCAAGGGUGGUCAUGUAUUUAUGAGGGCUCUCUCCUGACGUUUUUCCCACUCUGUUCUGCCUUAUUUAGGUCAUGACUGAGUUAGUUUCAACCUUUGUUUUCUCGCAAAAUUAAGAAGCUAUAUUGCAAGUGGUAUGAUGUUUACAAAGCACUUUACAAAAACCUGAGUAUCUGAUUUAGAGAUGAGGGAUUUAAUUUCACAAACUUUGAAGUGAUUAUGUACAAGGUAUUGGAAACAUGAAACUUGGAAAGGUCAAGUAACUUGCCCCAGUCACAAAUCUGGGAAUGGGCAGAUCUUGACUCAUUAAGAUCUCCAAAAUUUUGAUUUUUUUACUCUUUCUCUUAUGUUUCCAGAAGAGAAAAUGACUAGAACUCAUCCUGUGACAGGAUGACGCCUGAAGAAAAGGGCUGUCAUUCCAUUUUAUUUUUCUUGCCCCAGUGUCCAGUGCCUAACAUGGUGUUUAGCAGAUAUUAAGUGCUUAGUUUCUUCUUCAGUAGUUUAAGAUACCCAUUUCUAAGCUGCUUAUGAUGACCCCCACAGAGAAAACUGGAGGAAAAGAAGAAAACUUGGCACAGGAAGAGCUAUGCUGUCAGUCUGCAUUAUGGAUCCCGGGGCCAGAAUGAGGGCAAGUGUCUGCCCUGGUCAGGGCUCACCUGGAAUUCAUUUCUGGAAGGUAGGUUUUAGGAACAAUAAAGAUAAGUAAAGAAACUUUGAAUAGGACUACAUGAGAGUCAAUUGAAAGAAUUGGAGAAAUUUAUCCUGGGAAAGACUGGUAGGGGAACAGGUAAAAAAAAAAAAAAAAAAAAGAAUUAGAUGUGAGCCCAGAAAGUAGAACUAGACCCAUUGUGGGGAGUAUGGUGGAAAGGACAAUAGGUUUUCAAUUGGACCCUUCAGAAUCCCAUCCUUGCUAGAGCUAGUUCUCUGACUUUUGACAAGUCAGCUUUAUUCCUUUUGGGCUUCAGUUUCUUCAUCUAAAAAUUUGGACUAGAUUAUUUAGAGAGUUUUUAAGCUAAAAAAAGAUGAAACCAUGACACAAAAUUAAAGGCAGGCAAUUUCAGCUAAACUCACAAACAGACUAGAUUCAUAAAACACCAUAACUACUCUAACCUUAUCACUGUACGUUUCUUCCACUUCUGAAUGCUAUGAAUUUGUGGCCCAUUAAGAGUAACUCAUUUUCAGCUAAUAGCUUAUUUGAGAGACUAUCUCAUCCAAUUUUUUUCUUAAUUUUUUAACAGGAGAAAACUCAAGACACUCAGACCCAGAAAGGGAAGGGACUUAUUCAAAGUCACAAUUAAAGGAACUAGGAACCAGA